rnacentral:rRNA from 1 species
CCUACGGGCGGCAGCAGUGGGGGAUAUUGGACAAUGGGGGGAACCCUGAUCCAGCGACGCCGCGUGAGUGAAGAAGUAUUUCGGUAUGUAAAGCUCUGUCAGCAGGGAAGAAAGAAAUGACGGUACCUGACCAAGAAGCCCCGGCUAACUACGUGCCAGCAGCCGCGGUAAUACGUAGGGGGCAAGCGUUAUCCGGAAUUACUGGGUGUAAAGGGAGCGUAGACGGUUAAGUAAGUCUGGAGUGAAAUGCCGGGGCUUAACCCCGGAACUGCUUUGGAAACUGUGCAGCUAGAGUGCAGGAGAGGUAAGUGGAAUUCCUAGUGUAGCGGUGAAAUGCGUAGAUAUUAGGAGGAACACCAGUGGCGAAGGCGGCUUACUGGACUGUAACUGACGUUGAGGCUCGAAAGCGUGGGGAGCAAACAGGAUUAGAUACCCGAGUAGUC